AAAUAUAUGCACAAAUGCGCAAAAUUAACUUGUUUGGAACUAAAUAUCAGACAUCUAAUUUAAAUUUGACGCUGUUAAUAAUUAAAAGAGAAUAUUUCAACCAAAAUCAUAUCUUCCCUUGACCAAGAAAUGAACCCAUCCUCAUAAAAGCUAGCGACAGGGUGGCAAUUGCUAUAUAGAUGAUAUAUCCCUACAGAGAUACGUACAAACUAAAGCUAGUCUGAUCACUUCUUCGACUUUGCCUUGAAUAUAUUCUCCUUGUAGUAUUUCAGCUCUCUAAUGCUCUCUCUAAUAUCAUCCAUGGCUCUAUGUUUGUUUUCCUUUGAAGGGGCUUUCUUCUGAUCUCUGGGAUACCAGCGAAUGCACAAAGCCUUAACACUGCUAACAUCAACAAUAACAUGAGAGAAGAGACUGGCCAAAUCUGGCAUAUAUUUCUUUAAAAACAGAAAAUCCACAUACACUGAAUUGCCUGCCAAAAGAGGUGUGUAUGUACCGACAUGUCUCCUAACAAAUUCUAUCACCUGCUUUUCAGCCUCUC
rnacentral:misc_RNA from 1 species